GCAGCGACGCCGCGUGAGGGAUGACGGCCUUCGGGUUGUAAACCUCUUUCGCCAGGGACGAAGCGCAAGUGACGGUACCUGGAGAAGAAGCACCGGCCAACUACGUGCCAGCAGCCGCGGUAAUACGUAGGGUGCGAGCGUUGUCCGGAAUUACUGGGCGUAAAGAGCUCGUAGGUGGUUUGUCGCGUUGUUCGUGAAAACUCACAGCUUAACUGUGGGCGUGCGGGCGAUACGGGCAGACUGGAGUACUGCAGGGGAGACUGGAAUUCCUGGUGUAGCGGUGGAAUGCGCAGAUAUCAGGAGGAACACCGGUGGCGAAGGCGGGUCUCUGGGCAGUAACUGACGCUGAGGAGCGAAAGCGUGGGGGAGCGAACAGGAUUAGAUACCCUGGUAGUCCACGCCGUAAACGGUGGGUACUAGGUGUGGGUUUCCUUCCUUGGGAUCCGUGCCGUAGCUAACGCAUUAAGUACCCCGCCUGGGGAGUACGGCCGCAAGGCUAAAACUCAAAGGAAUUGACGGGGGCCCGCACAAGCGGCGGAGCAUGUGGAUUAAUUCGAUGCAACGCGAAGAACUUACCUGGGUUUGACAUGCACAGGACGACUGCAGAG
rnacentral:rRNA from 1 species